rnacentral:rRNA from 1 species
ACGCUCGACACCUACGGGAGGCAGCAGUGGGGAAUAUUGCACAAUGGGGGAAACCCUGAUGCAGCGACGCCGCGUGGAGGAAGAAGGUCUUCGGAUUGUAAACUCCUGUUGUUAGGGAAAAGAGGAUGGUACCCAACAAGGAAGUGACGGCUAACUACGUGUCAGCAGCCGCGGUAAUCUGAGGCGGGCUGGCAAGGC